AGUGAACGCUGGCGGUAUGCCUAACACAUGCAAGUCGAACGGCAGCACAUUAAGAGCUUGCUCUUACGGGUGGCGAGUGGCGGACGGGUGAGGAGUACAGCGGAAUCUACUUUUUCGUGGGGGACAACGUAGGGAAACUUACGCUAAUACCGCAUACGACUUACGGGUGAAAGCAGGGGAGCUUCGGACAUUGCGCGAAUGAAUGAGCCGAUCUCGGAUUAGCUAGUUGGCGGGGAAAAGGCCCACCAAGCCGACGAUCCGUAGCUGGUCUGCGAGGAUGAUCAGCCACACUGGAACGGGGACACGGCCCAGACUCCUACGGGAGGCAGCGGUGGGGAAUAUUGGACAAGGGGGGCAAGCCUGACCCAGCCAUACCGGGGGGGGGAAGAAGGCCUUCGGGUUGUAAAGCCCUUUUGUUGGGAAAGAAAAGCAGCAGGUUAAUACGCCGCUGUUCUGACGGUACCCAAAGAGAAAGCACCGGCUAACUACGUG
rnacentral:rRNA from 1 species